ACCUGGGUGGCUCAGUCGGUUAAGCGUCUGACUUCGGCUCAGGUCAUGAUCUCGCGGUCUGUGGGUUCGAGCCCCGCGUCGGGCU
rnacentral:tRNA from 1 species